CAAAUAUGGUCGAAACCCCAUUUACUAUUAAAUAAAUUCUAAACAAACAUGAAAGGGGCAUCAGUUCUCCAAGGUGAAAUAGCAUCAAUGAAUGCUUCAGACGCAAAUUACCCAUUUGAUUAUAUGAGAUUCAUCAUAUGCCCGAAAAUCAGUCAUCCCAAUCCA